UACGUAGGGUGCAAGCGUUGCCCCGGAUUUAUUGGGCGUAAAGGGCGCGUAGGCGGCUCUGCACGUCCGUUGUGAAAUCGCCCGGCUCAACUGGGCGGGGUCAGCGGAUACGGCAGAGCUUGAGCAAGCUAGGGGGCAAUGGAAUUCCCGGUGUAGUGGUGGAAUGCGUAGAUAUCGUCUGGAACGCCAAAGGUGAAAACAGCUCGCUGGGGUUGUGCUGACGCUGAGACACGAAAGCCAGGGGAGCGAACGGG
rnacentral:rRNA from 1 species